rnacentral:rRNA from 1 species
UGACUAUGAAACUGCGAAUGGCUCAUUAUAUCAGUAAUAGUUUAUUUGGUGAAGGAUACUAAUUGGAUAACCGUAGUAAUUCUAGGGCUAAUACAUGAGUAAAGUCCCGUUGGGAUGUGUUUAUUAGAAUGAAAACCAUAUGCUUCGGCAUGAUAGUGAGUAAUAGUAACCUAUCGUAUCGCAUGCUUAAAGUAGCGAUGAGUCUUUCAAGGUUCUGCCCUAUCAGCUUUCGAUGGUAGCAUAUGGGUCUACCAUGGCAGUAACGGGUAA